rnacentral:rRNA from 1 species
UCAGGUGGUUAUAGCGUCAGGGAUCCACCUCUACCCAUACCGAACAGAGAAGUUAAGCCUGACCACGCCGAUGGUACUGCGUAAAAGUGGGAGAGUAGGUAGCCGCCGAUUUUAGAUAGGAAGGGGGAGACGAGAAAAGAUCGUCUCCCC